GCAAUCAUAAGCGGAGGAAAAGAAACCCAACAGGGAUUGCCUCAGUAACGGCGAGUGAAGCGGCAAAAGCUCAAAUUUGAAAUCUGGCUCCUUCGGGGCCCGAGUUGUAAUUUGCAGAAGGAUGCUUCGGGCGUGGCCGCGGUCUAAGUCCCCUGGAACGGGGCGUCGCAGAGGGUGAGAAUCCCGUCUUCGGCCGGCCGGCUUCGCCCGUGUGAAGCUCCUUCGACGAGUCGAGUUGUUUGGGAAUGCAGCUCUAAAUGGGUGGUAAAUUUCAUCUAAAGCUAAAUAUUGGUCGGAGACCGAUAGCGCACAAGUAGAGUGAUCGAAAGAUGAAAAGCACUUUGAAAAGAGAGUUAAACAGCAUGUGAAAUUGUUGAAAGGGAAGCGCUUGCGAUCAGAGUCGGCCGCGGGGGUUCAGCGGGCAUUCGUUGCCCGUGCACUCCCCCGCGGGCGGGCCAGCGUCGGUUUCGACGGCCGGUCAAAGGCCCCCGGAAUGUGUCGCCUCUCGGGGCGUCUUAUAGCCGGGGGUGCAAUGCGGCCAGUCGGGACUGAGGAACGCGCUUCGGCACGGACGCUGGCUUAAUGGUCGUAAGCGACCCGUCUUGAAACACGGACCAAGGAGUCUAACAUCCACGCGAGUGUUCGGGUGUCAAACCCGUCCGCGCAGUGAAAGCGAACGGAGGUGGGAACCCUUUAAGGGUGCACCAUCGACCGAUCCUGAAGUCUUCGGAUGGAUUUGAGUAAGAGCGUGGCUGUUGGGACCCGAAAGAUGGUGAACUAUGCCUGAAUAGGGUGAAGCCAGAGGAAACUCUGGUGGAGGCUCGCAGCGGUUCUGACGUGCAAAUCGAUCGUCAAAUUUGGGCAUAGGGGCGAAAGACUAAUCGAACUCAUCUAGUAGCUGGGUUCCUGCGA
rnacentral:rRNA from 1 species